GACGAACGCUGGCGGCAUGCCUAACACAUGCAAGUCGAACGAGGAGUAGCAAUAAUUUUAGUGGCGAACGGGUGAGUAACACGUGAGCAACCUGCCUUAUACACAGGGAUAACAGUUGGAAACGACUGGUAAUACCGGAUAAGACCACAUGGGGGAGUCCUCAAGGGGUCAAAGCGAUUCAGCGGUAUAAGAUGGGCUCGCGUCCAAUUAGCUAGUUGGUGGGAUAAAAGCCUACCAAGGCAACGAUUGGUAGCCGACUUGAGAGAGUGAUCGGCCACAUUGGAACUGAGAUACGGUCCAAACUCCUACGGGAGGCAGCAGUGGGGAAUAUUGGGCAAUGGAGGAAACUCUUACCCAGCAAUGCCGCGUGAGUGAUGAAGGUCUUAUGGAUUGUAAAGCUCUUUGAUUGGGGACGAAUAAAUGACGGUA
rnacentral:rRNA from 1 species